CACGUAGGCGGCGAUUCAAGUCAGAGGUGAAAGCCCGGGGCUCAACCCCGGAACUGCCUUUGAAACUAGAUUGCUAGAAUCCUGGAGAGGCGAGUGGAAUUCCGAGUGUAGAGGUGAAAUUCGUAGAUAUUCGGAAGAACACCAGUGGCGAAGGCGACUCGCUGGACAGGUAUUGACGCUGAGGUGCGAAAGCGUGGGGAGCAAACA
rnacentral:rRNA from 1 species